GAGAACAUGUCGACGGAACAAGUAAAUUCAUUAUCUUUUCACAGAGAUCCUUUCCACGGCUGAAAGAAGGGGAUGGGUAAUGGAUUGAAAGCUACUCCUGAGUGCAAGUAAACCUUGCCGCCUUGCAGCGUUAAAAGCAUUCGAGUGAAGCGUUGUUUGACGUUUAAUGAGGGUGGUACCGCGAGAAUAUGUCUCGUCCCUUGG
rnacentral:ncRNA from 1 species